ensembl:lncRNA
GGCGACCCCAAGCCUGGAUUCAGGGCUGCAUGCGUUCCCUGGAAGUCAGAUGGGGCCACACGCGCGGGACACGUGAUGUGAUGUGCUGCUCUCCGCUGGCCUCCGGGUCCGGGUCCGCUGACUCACUUAGAAGGGCCGCCGCCCAGUGAUAGCCCAGGCUGAGGGGGGCGCUUCCAUUCCAUGGGUCUGUCCCACUCCCCUAGCAGUUGAGAAACAUGUAAAGAAGGAAAUGAACAUGAGCCACAGUCCCCAUCUUCCCACCCGAACGUAACCAACCACUAUUAGCAUUUCGUUGUCAUCCUCCUGACAUGCUCACAUGGUCACCUAGGGAUGUACCAGUGACAAAAGGAGAUUCCAUGAUGUUUCAUCACGGGAAUUUUCACUUAACUUACCAAAGACGUGGAAAGACAGAAAAACACGCCAUGUACAGGUGUGAGAGUUGGACCAUAAAGAAGGCUGAGCACCAAAGAAUUGAUGCUUUUGAAUUGUUGUGCUGGAGAAGACACUUGAGAGAGUGUCUUGGAGAGACCCUUGGACAGCAAAGGAGAUUGAACCAGUCAAUCCUAAAAGAAAUCAACCUUGAAUAUUCAUUGGAAGGACUGAUGCUAAUGCUCCAGUAUUUUGGCCACUUGAUGUGAAGAGCUGACUCACUGGAAAAGACCCUGAUGCUGAGAAAGAUUGAAAGCAAAAGGAAAAGGGGCCGCCAGAGGAUGAGAUGGUUAGAUAGCAUCAGUGACUCAAUGGACAUGAAUUUGAGCAGCUCUGGGAUACAGUGAAGGACAGAGGAGCCUGGUAUGCUAUAGUCCAUGAGGCUGUGAAGAGUUGGACAUGACUUGGU